rnacentral:lncRNA from 1 species
UUUUGUCUAAAUCAAGCAGUGCUUAGAGCCUCCCACAACGGGCCUUCAACCAUAUUUGGAAGAAAAGAAGGAAUCCAGAGAGGAAAUGGUUACCUGUGCUUACAGGCGGUCUGCACCACAAGCGCUGACUCAGCAAGAGGGAACUCUGCGUACCCCUGUCCCGAAAGCCCCUUGAGCAAGGACGUCAGAAAGAGACUAAAAUGGAGGGACAGCCUCCGAGGGCCCUGGAGCAGGGUAACAUGAGAUCUAUGACUAUCUAGUCAUUCGCUACCUGCAUUUGAAAGCAUAUGCAUUAUUAUGGUUGUCACCAUUUAUAGUAGUAUACUUAGACGUUGUCCAUCGAAUCUGGACGCAUACUCAAUUUGAAACUAAAUAAAACCUAAAGGAACAUAGGUGACCAUGAGGGACUCCAGGGAACAUUCUCUGGGACGGAACUCUGUGAAGAGUGGAGAAGAGGCCUCUAGGAUCAAGCUAUUCAUCAUGGAUACAGCCUCAGAUCCAGGACCUCCACCCUCUGGUGCAGUAUUUCCAGGAUAUUAGUGGGGGACUGUGGACCAUUCAAGCCUUGGAACAAGUCUAGCCCAACCACUGUCUAACUUUGCUGCUGACGGAAGCCUGACCCAGCCCUGACCUCGUAGACCUUAUAGGAAUAUGUUCUCAGCUCACUGCUCCACAUUUCUGGCCCUGUGACCUCACCAAACAAACACCUGCCUAUCUCAGAGCAUUGUAUCUAUUCAUGUUGAUUUCUGUCUCUUCCUUAUUAGUCUCUUGCACAAACCAUGAACUGGAUGAAAGCAAGAACGGGAUCGUUUGGGUUCUGUGGGUGACAUCAGGA